GACAGAGGUGCCGAGCGUUAGGCGGAAUCACUGGGCUUAAAGCGUGUGUAGGCGGGUCGUUAAGUGUCUUGUGAAAUCCCACCGCCCACCGGUGGAACGGCUGGGCAUACUGGCGACCUUGAGAGGCCUAGGGGCAGGACGGAACAAGGCGGUGGAGGCGGUGAAAUGCGUAGAUAUCGCUUGGAACGCCGACGGCGAAAGCAGUCUGCUGGGGGCCUUCUGACGCUGAGACACGAAAGCCAGGGGAGCGAACGGG
rnacentral:rRNA from 1 species